GAUGAACGCUGGCGGCGUGCCUAAUACAUGCAAGUCGAGCGAACAGACGAGGAGCUUGCUCCUCUGACGUUAGCGGCGGACGGGUGAGUAACACGUGGAUAACCUACCUAUAAGACUGGGAUAACUUCGGGGAACCGGAGCUAAUACCGGAUAAUAUAUUGAACCGCAUGGUUCAAUAGUGGAAGACGGUUUUGCUGUCACUUAUAGAUGGAUCCGCGCCGCAUUAGCUAGUUGGUAAGGUAACGGCUUACCAAGGCGACGAUGCGUAGCCGACCUGAGGGGGUGAUCGGCCACACUGGAACUGAGACACGGUCCAGACUCCUACGGGAGGCAGCAGUAGGGAAUCUUCCGCAAUGGGCGAAAGCCUGACGGAGCAACGCCGCGUGAGUGAUGAAGGUCUUCGGAUCGUAAAACUCUGUUAUUAGGGAAGAACAAAUGUGUAAGUAACUAUGCACGUCUUGACGGUACCUAAUCAGAAAGCCACGGCUAACUACGUG
rnacentral:rRNA from 1 species